CGACAGGAUUAAUUCUAUUCCUGGAGGGCCCAGUGGAGCAGGGCCAUUUGGGACGCCAGGAAGGUAGAAGGAGCACCGCUGCCAGGGCAUGUGGUGUCCCGGAAGAUGGCCAAGGCAGGCUGCCCAGAGUGGAAAGGAUGGCAACACGUGCCAGGCUGGGAUAGUGACUUGAAGAUGAGGAGCCUGGGCUGGGCGGGCCGCAGGCGGCAGGGAAGGCCCCACAUCGAGGGUUGCAAUCUUGUCAUCCAUAACUCUUAUAAGAAUGAGCCCUGGCCUGGAAGAGAGGCCAAAUGUCUAAUCAGCAGGCCUGGAACACCGCCGGUGCCAAGAAAGAGCCAAGCAGCCACUCCCUGGGGCUGGCUGCAGAUGAGGCCCUUGUGGUUUCCCCACUCACUGACUACGGGGAGGAGGGUGUGCAAGGACUUUGUCUGGGAAGAAUCUUUGCAUCUGUAGCUCAACAGGCUUCUCUCUCCAGGCCCCUGGGUUUCAAAAGACUGUGACUUCCACCUUGGUUUGCUCGGUCUGAUGAAGGAACUUUGAGCUGUGAGCUGCACUGUGAACUUUGCUGUGAGCUGCCCUGUGAUGGGAGAGGAGGCCUCCGCCUCACAGCCCUGGAGGACCUCAAUGCUGCCAACGUGUGACCAGAUGCAGAUCCUUCUCCAGUCAAGCCUGGACAUGACAUGACAGCAGCCCUGGGGACCUUGAUGCUGUGGCCUGUGCAAGACCCUGAGCCAGCCGCACCCAGAUCCCUCACCCACAGAAACUGCCAGAUUUUAAGUCUUCUGCUUGUAAGCCACUCUUUUUGCCAUAGUUUGUGUGCAGCAAUAGAUAACUGCUCUAGAGUUGUUAAAUGAGUAAGUUUUUUUAAAAACAGCAAAAACAGAUGGACGGACAGAGGGUCGGACAGCUGAACAAAUGGCAUUAGCCCCAGACUCUCCGCCGCCCUGUCUUCCACUCAUCUCCCAGUCUAGCGCCUGCUGCCUCCAGCCCUCACUCUCAGGCCAGUUCAGUUCUCCACACGGUUACCCAGUGUCUGCUGUGUGCCAGGCACCACACCAGGCAGGGUCUCUGGCCUAGUGCCCUCCCAUAACCCGACACAGUUCAGGCUGCAUGGUCAGAGCUGUCCAGAGUGAGGAAGGAGGAACUGGGCCCUGAUCACAGUGGGGGAGCAAGGGUGAGCCAAGCACGGCGGGAGCGGGGGCCCCAGCAGGAGCCUCUAGAAGGUCAGUUCGUUUCUGCCCUGCUUCAUUUCAUGGAGGGUUUGGGAUGGCAUAUAAAACUACACACG
rnacentral:lncRNA from 10 species